AUACAGAACACGGAUGUAGGGGUAGGAGAGUGGUAAUCGGCUCUUCUUUGAAGUCCUUUUUUUUUUCAACCUGAUCCUCCAACUAGCAUGAAUUGUUUUCAGCAAACAAUACUCUACGCUUCUGUAUAUGUGAACAAUAUAAAUGGUUUGAACAACGUGACUGAAGCAAUUUUUCUGAGUAUACGUGGUCAAGUGCUUAGAGAAAGUUAAGCCUAACAGCAGACGCGAAACUACAUCAAUCAAGUUAACACUUUGAAAAGUCUUGUUAUUUCCGUACAUCAAAGUUCUGGCACAGUCAUGAUACAACUUCCAUCUGAUCCAGUUCUCUUCAAGCACGGUCCAGGAAAAGAAGCGCAAUCAUAUUGUUCAACAUUGAAGUCCGUCUGUACUCCGAGUUGUCACCAGAACAUUAUGAAAAGUGACCUGAAGAAAAUUGGGGGAAUAUUUUCGAAACGUCGUCCUCUAUAUUUGUGUUUCUACAACAGGCAGUUGCCGUCCAUUCAACCAAAUUUCAUCAUGAAUACUCUGCCUAAACAAUCU
rnacentral:lncRNA from 1 species